GCUUACCCCGUCUGGUGGGAAUCAUGAAAAUCAUUAGAAAUUGGGAGGGGGGGUUAAAAUGACUACAGUGAUUUACUGAAAGAUAAAAGCCUGUACAGUAUCCAAUAUGGAGGAAAUUUGGAUAGGGUUAGGGGUGAAAAGAAUUAGCUCAGUAGAAGAAAAUGCCACAUUCCAAGAGAGGAACGUGCUGGUAGCCAUUGUUAGUUUAAGUUUUUAUCUUGAGUUGAGCUGAGAGGACAUGCCGUCUUAGACGGAAAUUAGUGUUGCCAUGUUGCCAAAUAGUCUUGGGAAGGGAGCUGUGACUCAGUGGCUUCCUGUGCCCGGGCGGGCCUCCCAUUAGAGUUAGACGAUACUGAUCACAGCACCCUUCUCAGUGGCACACUGGUGCCCACUUAGUGGAAGAUUGUUUUACUAACCAAUCAUCAAAGGAAAGUCGUCGUCUCCGAAAACAUUUAAUCGUAGAAUGAAAAUGAUCAGUCAAAGGGUCCCAGUCCUGCCGCCUGAGUCAGGAAGACGUUUCUGUGGACAGGAGAGCAGAGAUGGGUGAGACCACAGAUGGAAAGCAAGGAGAGUGCCGUUUUACCACAGACGCCUGGAGCAAGGGGAUGUGCUUUCUGAUCAUGUCUGGUAACACUUUAUUCAACAACCAAAGAACAUCCAGCCUACUUGACAACUGUGGAAAGCAUUUGAGUCAACAUGGGCCAGCAUCCUGUGGAACGCUUUCGACACCUUGUAGAGUCCAUGCCCUGUUGAAUUGAGGCUGUUCUGGGGGGGGACUACAUUUUAAGUGUUGCGUGUUCUUAAUGUUUUGUACAGUGUAUACUGUGUAACAAUAGGGUCACACAAACAAAAACCCAAUUGGUACCAUAUUAUUAUGGUAUGUAAUGAUGGGUCUUACUGUGCUUUCUUUUAGAACAAAUCAUGAUGACUACCAGAUUAUGAACUGUAAAAUAAAGCAAACCUAAUGUGCUGUUUAUAUUUUCAACCACACAUACGCCAUACCUCUCUCUUCAGCCACUCAUUUUCUUUGAUCUCCUGUCGGCUGUGCUUGUCAAGGUGUUUGAUGGCCCUCUGAGGAAAAAGUGUGUUAUCAUCAAAACUCAAGUAAUCUGUUCUGCUGAUGUGCCUUAUGUCUUACCUCUGUAGCCAGCUGUUUUUUUUCAUCUAUGAGAUGCACUGUCUUCUUGUCAAUUUCAUUGAAAGUUACAUCAAGAGAGUGCUGAAUAUUGUCUGUAGAAGUAAGAGACACGGUCAAGGAAAAUCUGUGAGGACAUCUGUCUCUCUCUGUCUUGUAAAUUAAUUGACUUUUGUUUUUGUAAAUAUUAUUUCUUUGAUUAAAUCAUUUUGAGGUUCAA